rnacentral:tRNA from 1 species
GGCCCCCGGCUCCCUGGGUAGAGCGCCGCAUUUGCAAUGCGGAGGUAAGCGGUUCGAAACCGCUCGGGUCCA